rnacentral:ncRNA from 1 species
UUGAUAGAGGCGCGAAAUUUAUCAGUAAUCAUUUUGAUGCAGUCAGGUGCAGAUGAUGGAUGACAAAAGGGAAUUUCGCCGAAGAGGAAAAGUCCUGUUGCUUUUCUGUCUGGGCAUACAGUUAAGAGCUGUAUGACUGUCAUCAUUAUUGGUGGAGUGCUAUCUGA